CUGAAGUGCAGUGGCGUGAUCUCGGAUGACUGCAACCUCCAUCUCCCGAUUUCAAGCGAUUCUCCUGUCUCAGCUUCCUGAGUAGCUGGGACUACAGAAAAAGUGAAGGGAGAAGGUUCUGAACAGACCCACCCACUAAUCUGGCUCACAGUUUCUGGCUGAAACUGACUGUUAACGGCAAACGUUACGGCCUAAUAUCGAAGCACAAGUUCUACCUCAGGCCGGGUUCCUCAACAUUCAUCACUGAGAGAUUCAGGCAAGAGGGAGAUAAGUUCAAGAGGACAGCCAUUCUCCCAGGAGUUGCAUCUUCAUCUAGUAUUUGAAAUGAUAAUUUAUAGGGGAAAUCAUUCAAGAUAACAUGUUCCAGAAGGAAAAUACGCCCUGCUGUUGUUCCAGCUCCUUAAAUCAUGUUUUACCUAGUCUAAUAAGAAGGCUAAUUUGCCUUGGAAAGAGCAAAUGUGUUUGCUGCAAAGCAGGUUUUUUAUUUCCAGGUAAGAUAAACGUCAGGCUAAAGAACAGAAGUAUAGCAUUCCUAGAUUUUAAUGUCUAAAAAGGGAGAUUUGAAGCACUACAAAAUGACAUUCCUCUAGAAAAUAAUAUUGAUGAGAAGAGAGUAAAGAGUAGUCAUUUACUCACCAACUGUUUAUUGAAAACCUAGUGUAGGUCAGAAGCUGACCUUGAAGUUAAGAAGGCAACAAUAAAUAAAACAAAAUUUUGCCCUGGCUUACACUUAACCCAAAUAAUGAUGUCUUUGCCAUGAAGAGCUUAGGAGUCAUUUACGUCUUCCACCUCAGUAAUUUACAUUCUUCUACAUCAAGAAAAAAUGGUAUGUCCUGUUAAACUUCAACCCAUCUGGAAACGUAACUGUGAUACAUUAAGCAUCCUCUAUGAGUCAGCUGAUUUACUCAUUCUGUCUCACUCUCCUUAUAACUAACCCCGCCAAGUAGAAACUAUUAUGUUUCCAUUGUAGAUCACUAUACUCCUAAAGAAAUAAGAUGAUUUCAUCAAAUCACAUAGCUUGUGACAGAGCUGAGGGUUUCCCUCAGGUGCUGGAGUGAUUUUGAAAAAGUCUGUCCUAGAUACAGUGUUAUUUGAAAUUUGUGUCUGAAAUUUCUGCCACUUAAUUGUACCAGAAGAUCUAGAAGGUUCAAGGAUUUCUGGAAAGUGUUCGUACACUGGCAGCUCUAGCACUUCUGAAGAAGUCAUGUGGUGCAGCUCCUUGUCUAGAACAGAUCCACUUAAAGGCUGGAGAGAGAGUGCGUUGAAUCCUGGAGAGGUUUCUUUGUGUGUGUUUUUGUUUUGACAGAAAUUUUGCUUUUGAUUUAUAUAUGUUAAUUUCCUGGUGGGUCUUUUAUUUAAGAAUACAGAUGUUUAUUGUUUCCAUGACAUACUGAGUAAAUAGAACACAAGAUCAGCUUUGAUUUCUU
rnacentral:lncRNA from 10 species